GUGUUGUAUAUGAAAGGAGAGAAGGUAGCACUCCUUUGACAAGAAUUGAAGGGCUCUUGGGCCCUGGACAAUACAGUAGAUGUUAAGGCAUUGCCUCCUACUUUGUGGCAUAUACCACUGUUACU
rnacentral:ncRNA from 1 species